GAGUAGCUGGGACUACAGGCGCCCGCCACCACACCCAGGAAUCCAACUUGCUGUUUGCUAUCACAUGUGCUAUACAUGCUGUUGAUGAAACUGCUAAAGGGGCUGAAUGUGACUGACGUCUUUGGAAGGAUGAGACUUAGCGUGCCUGUACAGUUGUGUCCAAAUGCUGUCCUCAUCUCCCAAUGAAAAGGGUUUUUCCUUAAGCCUCACAACAAUUUACAGCAUUGCCAGCAGCAUUCAGUACAUUCAGAACAGGAUAAUUUCACCCGCAGCUGAACUAGGGCCAUGCCUGGGACAGACAGAGAAUGGCCUUCCAGCAGACAUGCCAAGAAGCAAGCCAGGGUCAGUGAGUGAAGAGGAGGGCAGGCCCAUUUGAAGCAACACAGUUUAUGUAAGUGUGAUCUAACUGCUUUCACUGGAAAUGGGUCAGACUCCAGUUGAGAGAACCAGGGGCCUGAAUGACCCCAGCAAAAUCACUGUGGCAAUUCUUUCAAUCACCUCUGAGAAUAUGGCCCUGUGACGACAUAAUGACGUUUGGAUUAAUUCCAGUCGGCUGUGUUUUCCCCUCCUUUCUUGCCUCCCCGUAGUUGAUUUGCCAAAUUUUUUUUGUUUGCUUAAAUACGCGGAACUAAACAGGAUACAUUAUAUGACAGUCUGUGAUAAAUUUACCACUGGGAAUAGGGAAAAAGUAUGGGAUAAAGAAAUAGGUAUUUUUCGCCUCUCACAGCUGUGAUUCAGUUCUGACUCAAAAGGAAGUGUGCCACCUACUGAAUCACAGAAACCACUUCCUGUGGCUGUUUGGUUUAUUCUGGAGGAGCAUCAGGCCAAGUGCUGCCCUGCCCUGACCCUGACUGGCUCUUCAGAGCCAAGGCAUUCACAGCUUGAGGUGGUUUGGCCUCAGACUCUUGAGAACAUUGCAUAUUAAAUUACAAGUGUUUCGUUUCCUAGCAAGGAGUCUUUAGCAACAUGAAAACGAACGUGUGUUAUUUGCAAACCAAGUAUAUCAUUACUGAACCUGAAUAUCCUUACUUUUUCAUAAGGUACGUAUUCCGGAUGACCACUCUUAAGAUCUGAAUGUACACUGGUUCUGUUUUUCCUGAGGGGAACUUGGGCAGUCUGCAGGGUGGCAUUUACCAGCUGAGGGACUUCAAGAGCACCCUUUAAUCAGUGUGGCAGCACUCAACUUGUAUUCACUCACUCAGAGUAUUUUUGAGCAUGUACUUAUUGCCAUGUGCUGUGCUAGGUAGGGGUAGAGGGUACAGUGGUGAACAAGACCCCACAGCUCCUGACCUCAUGGCUCAUGUGUUCUACACCAUAAGGGAAUCAAGCUGUGUCUCCCGGGGCAGGGGCCUUCCUCUGUUCACCAUGCAGCCCCAGCAUCUAGCACCUGGCGUUGCAUAAAGGAGGCUCUAAAUCAAGCUUGUCCAACCCAAGGCCCACGGGCCACAUGUGGCCCAGGAUGGCUUUGAAUGCAGCCAAACACAAAUUUGUAAACUUUCUUAAAACAUUAUAAGAUUUGUGUGUAUGUGUUUUAGUCCAUCAGCUAUUGUUAGUGUUCAUGUAUUUUAUGUGUGGCCCAAGACAAUUCUUCUAUGUGGCCCAAGGAAACCAAAGAUUGAACACUCCUGCUCUAAAUACUUGUUUGUUGAAUAGAUACAUGAAAAGAAAGAAGGAGAGAAGGAAGAAAGGAGGGCGGAAGGAAAGGAAGAAGGGAGAGAAGAAGAGAAGAAAGAAGCAGAGAAAGGAAGAGAAAAGAAAUUACGGCCAGUGCGGUGGCUCACGCCUGUAAUCCUAGCACUUUGGGAGGCCUAAGCGGGCUGAUCACCUGAGGUCAGGAGUUCGUAAGCCAGCCUGGCCAACAUGGUGAAACCCUAUCUCUACUAAAAAUACAAAAAUCAGCAGGGCAUGGUGGUGCGUGCCUGUAAUCCCAGCUACCUGGGAGGCUGAGGUAGGAGAAUCGCUGGAACCCGAGAGGCGGAGGCUGCAGUGAGUUGAGAUCAUGUCACUGCACUCCAGGCUGGGCAACAGAGUGAGACUCUGUCUCAGAAAAAAAAAAAAA
rnacentral:lncRNA from 1 species